rnacentral:rRNA from 1 species
AGUAGAACGCUGAAGGAGGAGCUUGCUUCUCCGGAUGAGUUGCGAACGGGUGAGUAACGCGUAGGUAACCUGCCUGGUAGCGGGGGAUAACUAUUGGAAACGAUAGCUAAUACCGCAUAACAGUAGAUGUUGCAUGACAUUUGCUUAAAAGGUGCAAUUGCAUCACUACCAGAUGGACCUGCGUUGUAUUAGCUAGUUGGUGGGGUAACGGCUCACCAAGGCGACGAUACAUAGCCGACCUGAGAGGGUGAUCGGCCACACUGGGACUGAGACACGGCCCAGACUCCUACGGGAGGCAGCAGUAGGGAAUCUUCGGCAAUGGACGGAAGUCUGACCGAGCAACGCCGCGUGAGUGAAGAAGGUUUUCGGAUCGUAAAGCUCUGUUGUAAGAGAAGAACGAGUGUGAGAGUGGAAAGUUCACACUGUGACGGUAUCUUACCAGAAAGGGACGGCUAACUACGUGCCAGCAGCCGCGGUAAUACGUAGGUCCCGAGCGUUGUCCGGAUUUAUUGGGCGUAAAGCGAGCGCAGGCGGUUAGAUAAGUCUGAAGUUAAAGGCUGUGGCUUAACCAUAGUACGCUUUGGAAACUGUUUAACUUGAGUGCAAGAGGGGAGAGUGGAAUUCCAUGUGUAGCGGUGAAAUGCGUAGAUAUAUGGAGGAACACCGGUGGCGAAAGCGGCUCUCUGGCUUGUAACUGACGCUGAGGCUCGAAAGCGUGGGGAGCAAACAGG